CCUAAUUUAUUGCUUAUUUUAAUAGCCAGCCUGGUUGCUGUAGCCACAGAGGAAUUUUCAAGGACAAGAACCAGUGCUGGUAAAACUGUGGUCUCGUGUGGUUUUCCAUACCGGCUCUCGGCAAGGAUUUUCAAGAAAGGAAUACCAUCUCCAAAUCAUGAUGUGCCAAUAAGCUCCAGUUAGCUGCGGCCUUUUCCCCAGGCGGUAGUCCUGCAAUCUGAAUCCAGGAGAUGCAGCUCUGAAUCCAAUAUUUCAGAAGAAUGAAGAUGAAGCAGACCCAGGAGGAACUGUCUGUUGAAGACCCCCCCUCCCCCCCCACCAAGCUGCCCACCAGAGGCCAAGCUGUACUUGGUGUUUGCCAACAUGCUGUAAUUU